GGGGGGCUCGGAGUUUCACUCCCAACCCUUUUGUGACAUACCUAUCGUUGCUUCGGCGGACUCGCCCCAGCGUCCGGCCGGCCCCGCGCCGGCCGCGGCCUGGAUCCAGGCGGCCGCCGGAGACCCCCAAACUCUGUAUUCUCAGUAUCUUCUGAAUCCGCCGCAAGGCAAAACAAAUGAAUCAAAACUUUCAACAACGGAUCUCUUGGUUCUGGCAUCGAUGAAGAACGCAGCGAAAUGCGAUAAGUAAUGUGAAUUGCAGAAUUCAGUGAAUCAUCGAAUCUUUGAACGCACAUUGCGCCCGCCAGCAUUCUGGCGGGCAUGCCUGUUCGAGCGUCAUUUCAACCCUCGACUUCCCUUUGGGGAAAUCGGCGUUGGGGACCGGCCGUAUACCGCCGGCCCCGAAAUGAAGUGGCGGCCCGUCCGCGGCGACCUCUGCGUAGUAAUCCAACUCGCACCGGAACCCCGACGUGGCCACGCCGUAAAACCCCCGACUUCUGAACGUUGACCUCGGAUCAGGUAGGAAUACCCGCUGAACUUAAGCAUAUCAAUAAGCGGAGGAA
rnacentral:rRNA from 1 species